rnacentral:lncRNA from 1 species
AUCAAGGGUUUAGUGGUAGUUGAGUAUCUCCAGCUGAGUGACUAUUUGACAAAUAAGUGAAUUUGGGCUCAAGGGGUGAUUUAUCUGAAAAUCAGAUUUGUCUCUUAAGACAUGAAAUACUUUUAAUAGAGUGUAAUACAGUAACUUGAAUACAUCGUGUGCCUAGUUGGGGCCUAGAAUCUCUAAUUUGAUAGGCUUUAGACCCAAAGGUUGCACAACAUGCUUAGUGAUCAGUUGUAUAAGUUUACAACUUUAGUCAGUUCCCAGAAUGCAAGUUAACCCCAAGCAAGAUGGGUCACAUAAACAUAUAUUUCUCUUCCUUUUGACUCAGUUCUAGAAUGAGCUAAAUGGUUCUCUUUGUUUUUGCUCUUCCUUGAUCUGGGCCUUAAUAUAUGGCCAGUCUAUUACAUGGCAAAUGAUCUCUCCAUUGCUGCAUUUCAGAAAGAAGGGUUGGAUACAUCUCCGUUUCUUUUCUUCUAGGGGAGCUAGAAGUCACCCCACAUUCUCCGCCAUGGCCAGCUCUACAUUCUAAGAGGAAAACAAGUCCAUAGAAUGACUUGAAUU